GCUCCCUUAGCUCAGCUGGAUAGAGCAGCUGCCUUCUAAGCAGCCGGCCGCAGGUUCGAAUCCUGCAGGGGGCGUCA
rnacentral:tRNA from 1 species